rnacentral:rRNA from 1 species
GCAUCGAUGAAGAACGCAGCGAAAUGCGAUAAGUAAUGUGAAUUGCAGAAUUCAGUGAAUCAUCGAAUCUUUGAACGCACCUUGCGCUCCAUGGUAUUCCGUGGAGCAUGCCUGUUUGAGUGUCAUGAAUACUUCAACCCUCCUCUUUCUUAAUGAUUGAAGAGGUGUUUGGUUUCUGAGCGCUGCUGGCCUUUACGGUCUAGCUCGUUCGUAAUGCAUUAGCAUCCGCAAUCGAACUUCGGAUUGACUUGGCGUAAUAGACUAUUCGCUGAGGAAUUCUAGUCUUCGGAUUAGAGCCGGGUUGGGUUAAAGGAAGCUUCUAAUCAGAAUGUCUACAUUUUAAGAUUAGAUCUCAAAUCAGGUAGGACUACCCGCUGAACUUAAGCAUAUCAAUAAGCGGAGGAA